AACGAACGCUGGCGGCAUGCCUAACACAUGCAAGUCGAACGAUGCCUCCGGGCAUAGUGGCGCACGGGUGCGUAACGCGUGGGAAUCUGCCCUUGGGUUCGGAAUAACUCGCCGAAAGGCGAGCUAAUACCGGAUGAUGACGUAAGUCCAAAGAUUUAUCGCCCAAGGAUGAGCCCGCGUAGGAUUAGCUAGUUGGUGGGGUAAAGGCCCGCCAAGGCGACGAUCCUUAGCUGGUCUGAGAGGAUGAUCGGCCACACUGGGACUGAGACACGGCCCAGACUCCUACGGGAGGCAGCAGUGGGGAAUAUUGGACAAUGGGCGAAAGCCUGAUCCAGCAAUGCCGCGUGAGUGAUGAAGGCCUUAGGGUUGCAAAGCUCUUUUACCCGGGAUGAUAAUGACAGUACCGGGAGAAUAAGCUCCGGCUAACUCCGUG
rnacentral:rRNA from 1 species